GCCUCCAUUCACUCGAUAAUAGCUUGUUACGUUAGCUUUUUCUUUCCUUUCUUGGUUCCUCAUUGCAUGUCCCUUCAAAUGAAUUGUGGGGACUAGAGCUGAAUUAUGAGCAAACUCUCUCCUUACGUGUAUGGCUUUUGCAAGAAUAUAAUGUGUCUCUGUUUUUUUCUCCCAAUGCAUAUUCUUGAAUGCAAUCCUUGGGGAUAGGGAGUCUAUGUUUUCUUCUUCCUAGGUAUAUUGCCAUCCUGAUCAGCCGGAGAGAGUCGUGGAGGUCAGAGGAGUGAUGACGGUCGUGGUUAGAGGCAAAGCACGAGGUUUUCAAAGACAAAUGAGCGGCAUAGCUGAGGAGAACAGCGGUGGUAAUUGCUUGGCUAUCUAAGUUGGCUGCAGUGACGGAAAUGAUGAGGCGGGGGAGCUCAUGGACUCGAGGUUGCCAAUGGUGGAAAUGGACUUGACAGAGGUGGUUCAUUAUGCAACUUGCUAACCAGUGCUAGAGUCUCACGCUUCCCAAGACUCUUCCACUCAUGAAUCUUUUAGCGGAAUCUCUAGAGGUAGGAGAGCUCCCGAAGUGUGAGAUUUCGAGCGGUAAAAGACGAUAGAGGCGAUCACGGAGAGGCAAGCGACGAUGAUGUGGUCGCCAGUUAUGGCGUACUCGAAUUCCUAGUAUUUUGAGCUGAGCAGUAUAUAUAAUUUUAGUAAAAAUAAAAAUUGCAUCAAAUUGUUUAUUUAA